rnacentral:rRNA from 1 species
CAGCCGCCGCGGUAAUCCGUAGGUGGCAAGCGUUGUCCGGAAUUAUUGGGCGUAAAGCGCGCGCAGGCGGAUAGGUCAGUCUGUCUUAAAAGUUCGGGGCUUAACCCCGUGAUGGGAUGGAAACUGCCAAUCUAGAGUAUCGGAGAGGAAAGUGGAAUUCCUAGUGUAGCGGUGAAAUGCGUAGAUAUUAGGAAGAACACCAGCGGCGAAGGCGACUUUCUGGACGAAAACUGACGCUGAGGCGCGAAAGCCAGGGGAGCGAACGGGAUUAGAUACCCCUGUAGUCCCUGUCUCUUAUACA